ensembl:miRNA mirlet7a-4 microRNA let7a-4
UCCAGUGUUCCGCAGGUUGAGGUAGUAGGUUGUAUAGUUCAGAGUGACACCACAGGAGAUAACUGUACAGCCUCCUAGCUUUCCCUGAGGAAACAC